rnacentral:rRNA from 1 species
GAUCCUGGCUCAGAAUCAACGCUGGCGGCGCGCUUAACACAUGCAAGUCGCACGAGAAAGGGGAGCAAUCCCUGAGUACAGUGGCGCACGGGUGAGUAACACGUGGGUAAUCCACCCUUUAGUGGGGAAUAACCCUGGGAAACCGGGGCUAAUACCGCAUAAGCCUGAGAAGGGAAAGCAGCAAUGCGCUGAAGGAGGAGCUCGCGGCCGAUUAGCUAGUUGGUGGGGUAACGGCUCACCAAGGCGACGAUCGGUAGCUGGCCUGAGAGGGCACACGGCCACACUGGCACUGAAACACGGGCCAGACUCCUACGGGAGGCAGCAGUGGGGAAUCUUGCACAAUGGGGGAAACCCUGAUGCAGCGACGCCGCGUGAGCGAUGAAGCCCUUCGGGGUGUAAAGCUCUUUCGACGGGAACGAUAAUGACGGUACCCGGAGAAGAAGCUGCGGCUAACUACGUGCCAGCAGCCGCGGUAAUACGUAGGCAGCAAGCGUUGUUCGGAAUUACUGGGCGUAAAGAGUGUGUAGGCGGUGCUCUAAGUUCGGUGUGAAAUCUCCCGGCUCAACUGGGAGGGUGCGCCGGAAACUGGAGUGCUGGAGCGCGGGAGAGGAAAGCGGAAUUCCUGGUGUAGCGGUGAAAUGCGUAGAUAUCAGGAGGAACACCGGCGGUGUAGACGGCUUUCUGGACCGU